rnacentral:rRNA from 1 species
AUACGGAGGAUCCGAGCGUUAUCCGGAUUUAUUGGGUUUAAAGGGUGCGCAGGCGGCCAUUUAAGUCAGCGGUUAAAUCGUGGGGCUCAACCCCAUUCUGCCGUUGAUACUGGGUGGCUUGAUUGCGGUCGAGGUUGGCGGAAUUCGUUGUGUAGCGGUGAAAUGCAUAGAUAUGACGAAGAACACCGAUUGCGUAGGCAGCUGACCAGAUCGCAAAUGACGCUCAUGCACGAAAGUGCGGGGAUCGAACAGGAUUAGAUACCCUGGUAGUCCGCACAGUAAACGAUGAAUACUUGUUUUCGGCGAUAUAAUGUCGGAGGCAAAGCGAAAGCGAUAAGUAUUCCACCUGGGGAGUACGUUCGCAAGAAUGAAACUCAAAUGAAUUGACGGGG